rnacentral:sRNA from 1 species
UAUAUUACAAAUCAGGAUGGUGCAGUAUUCUAGUCGGCCCUCCGAUUCUGAAGGCGGGCCUAAAAAUCCGCCAAAGGGCACAUCGAUGAAGUUCCUUGUGUUGGCUUGAGGCGCCCAGCCUUGGGUCGAUGCUGGGAGUUAAGGUUGCGGGGCGAUCCACAAUGGCAUGUGGGCGUUGACCCUGCUUCCGCGGAGGCCCAAUAUCGUAGGAGGCUGUUCUCAUACGUCUGCUAUGAAUUGGGGUAUGAACCUGUGAGGUUGUUUUUGGGAAGAUAAUCCACAGCGUAGCCUGCCUUGAGUGGCACUGAGGGGAUUAUGGUUCAUAAACAUUCAUCUAUAUGGCCAAUAGAUGGAUGUUUACACCGCCAUAUGAAAUCAGCGCUGCAAAAGAGGCUAGGGAUCGGUCAAAGGCUGUCGAGGAAAUCUCCUAGACUGUUCUGAUGGACACCUAAGAGGGAUUAUAGUGCGGACUAAGUGGCAAUCCAGUCUAGUUUCUGGUGACGGAGCUAAGGCAGAUUUAAAGGGGAACCGCCGUUGUGGCAACACUCGGUAUCUGCUUGGGAAAACCUACUGGACCUAAGCCGCAGUUUUAAUCUUUUAGGUGACCAUCCUGUAAUACAUAAUG